UACGUAGGGUGCAGGCGUUAACCGGAAUUACUGGGCGUAAAGCGUACGCAGGCGGUUUGUUAAGACAGAUGUGAAAUCCCCGGGCUUAACCUGGGGACUGCGUUUGUAACUGGCAAGCUAGAGUGUGGCAGAGGGGGGUGGAAUUCCACGUGUAGCAGUGAAAUGCGUAGAGAUGUGGAGGAACACCGAUGGCGAAGGCAGCCCCCUGGGCUAACACUGACGCUCAUGCACGAAAGCGUGGGGAGCAAACAG
rnacentral:rRNA from 1 species